UACGUAGGGUGCAAGCGUUAAUCGGAAUUACUGGGCGUAAAGCGUGCGCAGGCGGUUAUGUAAGACAGAUGUGAAAUGCCCGGGCUUAACCUGGGAACUGCAUUUGUGACUGCAUGGCUAGAGUUUGGCAGAGGGGGGUAGAAUUCCCGGUGUAGCGGUGAAAUGCGCAGAUAUCGGGAAGAACACCCGUGGCGAAGGCGGCUCUCUGGGACGGUACUGACGCUGAGACGCGAAAGCGUGGGGAGCGAACAGG
rnacentral:rRNA from 1 species